AGCAGCCGCGGUAAUUCCAGCUCCAAUAGCGUAUAUUAAAGUUGUUGCAGUUAAAAAGCUCGUAGUUGAACUUCGGGGUUUACCCAUUGGUCAGGCUUAAUUGUCUGUACUGGUGAGAUAAAUCUCUACCUUCUGAGGAACUUUCAUGCCAUUAAUUUGGUGUGAUGGGAAAUCAGGACUGUUACUUUGAAAAAUUGAGUGUUUAAAGCAGGCUAACGUCUGAAUACAUUAGCAUGGAAUAAUGAAAUAGGACGGACUGAUUCUAUUUCGUUGGUUUCUAGGAUCACCGUAAUGAUUAAUAGGGAUAGUUGGGGGCAUUAGUAUUCAAUUGUCAGAGGUGAAAUUCUUGGAUUUAUUGAAGACUAACUACUGCGAAAGCAUUUGCCAAGGAUGUUUUCAUUAAUCAAGAA
rnacentral:rRNA from 1 species